rnacentral:rRNA from 1 species
UGGGGGAUUUUGCACAAUGGGCGCAAGCCUGAUGCAGCGACGCCGCGUGAGGGAUGAAGGCCUUCGGGUUGUAAACCUCUUUCGCUGGGUUGAAAGGCCAUGCUUUGGGUGUGGUUGAUUUGAACUGGUAAAGAAGUACCGGCUAACUACGUGCCAGCAGCCGCGGUAAUACGUAGGGUACUAGCGUUGUCCGGAUUUAUUGGGCGUAAAGGGCUUGUAGGUGGUUUGUCGCGUCUGUCGUGAAAUCCUGUGGCUUAACCAUGGGCUUGCGGUGGGUACGGGCAGGCUUGAGUGCGGUAGGGGAGACUGGAAUUCCUGGGGUAGCGGUGGAAUGCGCAGAUAUCAGGAGGAACACCGGUGGCGAGAGCGGGUCUCUGGGCCAUUACUGGCACUGAGGAGCGAAAGCGUGGGGAGCGAACAGG